GGAACUUUAAUCACAAUAAUAGGAAAAUAUAUUAGUAAUAGAAACACAUAGCUUAAGGAUAGAUUAGUUAACGUUAUUAAUAUUUUUUAACCCUGCCGCAGGAGGGCUCUUUGGUUCGAUAUAUUGUGACCCUCUUUGUAGAGCCUUUCUAAUUUUUUUGCACAAGAAAAUUGUGUCCUUAUCUCUUCAUUUGUUCUUAUCCGGGUAUUGCCCCGUCUAACUCUCGGUCUCUCCCAUUGCUGCCCCCAUCUCAUCUAUCAUUUGCCAUCUCUCCCCUCUCGCCAAAGCUAUGAAAAUAUGAUUGGAGGUAGCUAGCAAGCCAGGUUACGGUUGAGGAUUGGAGAGCCACAGCAACCGGCUCUGGGGGACGAUGCAGGCUGGUAGAAGAUCAGGGCGGCCAGGCUGCUCAGGAGGAUGGUUGCCCGGAGCAGGGGACCGCGGCACCAACGCCGGCGGCCUGAUUAGGUGGCUCCCUCCAGCGGGAGGAAGGAGAGAGCUACGGAAGACAGCAGUCAGCAGACAGCAACGGAGGAGAGAAAAACUCCAGGAGCCCCGAAAGCUUCAGGUUUUGCCAUUGGAGGUGUCCCAGUUGAAAUUGCGCGAAGGUCGAACCCAAAGAUUGCAAAAGAAUUCAACCAUCAGGUACUUCAGUCGCUAUGGUUCAGUAAUUCUAGGAGCCUAGAGGUAGCCUAUUGAAUGCAUUGCUGUUCUGGGACGCUGGUACAGACAGGAUUGGGAAGCAAUGGAGACACCUACACUGGGGAAAAAAUGUUGUCUCUGAAAAUCGAAUGGGAAGCAACGGACGCUGCUCGGAAUGUUCUCAUGGGUAGGCUUUGUCGCAACGCGAGUUUCUCACGGGCCUUCUCCCGUCCGCUACACAAAACUAUAGCCCAACAAGCAUGCGAUAAAUUGGAGCCCACGUCCAUGUCCAUCACCUCUCAAACAUCAUAGGUCGUAGUAGAUCCAUCCGUGUAUUCCCUUGAUGUACAACUCCCAAACAAACCCACACACUUCCGACUUCCGACUGUCCACGUUCAGGAAACGACUUUUGUCCAACUACUUCGAGACAUCCGAUCCCUAAAUUGGUUUCGUGAGCGCGUUUCUACUUCAAACAAUAGGUGAGCACCCUCCUCACAACCCAUCUUC